CCUACGGGAGGCAGCAGUAGGGAAUAUUGCUCAAUGGGGGAAACCCUGAUGCAGCAACGCCGCGUGGAGGAUGAAGGUUUUCGGAUUGUAAACUCCUUUUGUUAGAGAAGAUAAUGACGGUAUCUAACGAAUAAGCACCGGCUAACUCCGUGCCAGCAGCCGCGGUAAUACGGAGGGUGCAAGCGUUAUCCGGAAUCACUGGGCGUAAAGAGCGCGUAGGCGGGAUAGCAAGUCAGAUGUGAAAUCCUAUGGCUUAACCAUGGAACUGCAUUUGAAACUGUUAGUCUAGAGUAUGGGAGGGGUAGGUGGAAUUCUUGGUGUAGGGGUAAAAUGCGUAGAGAUCAAGAGGAAUACUGAUUGCGAAGGCGACCUGCUAGAACAUAACUGACGCUGAUGCGCGAAAGCGUGGGGAGCAAACAGGAUUAGAUACCCUUGUAGUC
rnacentral:rRNA from 1 species